GGGUUUUUCUCUGCUCCUAAUAAGAGCAGCUUCUUGCUGGCGCUCUUCCUCUACAAUAGAUGCAAACAUGACAGGUGCCAUGACAGGAGAGUUAGUUGGUGAUGUUGCCAACCAAGGAUUAUGGCUCUCCAGCUGAGGAGAAUCCAAAACGUGGCCUUCCAGACCUGGGCUACUUCGAGCCAUGCAUCUUGCUGUGCUUUGGACUGGUGAAUCCUCAGCUCCUUUAUAUCCAGCUCUCUUGAUAGUAGUACCAGGUAAAUUAUUUGCACUCAUAUAUUUUUCUUCCUCCAUUACAAGAUCACGGAAUGACUUUGGCAAAGGAGAAUGCAAUGAAGAUGACCAUGCAUUUCCUAG
rnacentral:lncRNA from 1 species